CACACAUUGGUUCUCAUCAUUGACAUUCGAUGUUAUGGGAAUUAUUUUUAACGAGUAAAACAUAACCUAAAUUAAGAGUAAUUUUGAUCAUGAAAAUGCUAGCUCACGAUAUGACGGGAAAAUAUGCAUUUUGCCGUUGUAAACAGAGCUUGGACACAUUGGACGUCUAAAACCCCUGCUAUACUCAAAACCCCUGCUAGAUUCAUUUCUUUUGUGCUAUA